rnacentral:rRNA from 1 species
CGAGGGGCAGCGGGAUUGAAGCUUGCUUCAAUUGCCGGCGACCGGCGCACGGGUGAGUAACGCGUAUCCAACCUUCCGUACACUCAGGGAUAGCCUUUCGAAAGAAAGAUUAAUACCUGAUGGUAUGAUGAGAUUGCAUGAUAGCAUCAUUAAAGAUUUAUCGGUGUACGAUGGGGAUGCGUUCCAUUAGGUAGUAGGCGGGGUAACGGCCCACCUAGCCAACGAUGGAUAGGGGUUCUGAGAGGAAGGUCCCCCACAUUGGAACUGAGACACGGUCCAAACUCCUACGGGAGGCAGCAGUGAGGAAUAUUGGUCAAUGGACGAGAGUCUGAACCAGCCAAGUAGCGUGAAGGAUGAAGGUCCUACGGAUUGUAAACUUCUUUUAUAAGGGAAUAAACCCUCCCACGUGUGGGAGCUUGUAUGUACCUUAUGAAUAAGCAUCGGCUAACUCCGUGCCAGCAGCCGCGGUAAUACGGAGGAUGCGAGCGUUAUCCGGAUUUAU